UACGUAGGGGGCAAGCGUUGUCCGGAUUUAUUGGGCGUAAAGAGCGUGUAGGCGGUUUGGUAGGUCCGCUGUGAAAACUCGAGCUCAACCUCGAGACGCCGGUGGAAACCAUCAGACUAGAGUCCGGAAGAGGAGAGUGGAAUUCCUGGUGUAGAGGUGAAAUUCGUAGAUAUCAGGAGGAACACCAGUGGCGAAGGCGGCUUUCGUGGACGGUAACUGACGCAUGAGA
rnacentral:rRNA from 1 species